rnacentral:rRNA from 1 species
GUCGAACGCUGGCGGCGCGCCUAACACAUGCAAGUCGAGCGAUGGCACGGGUACAGGACCCUUCGGGGCGGUGACAAAGGGGAGUGGCGUCCGACGGGACAGUAACACGUGUGUAACCUGCCUUAGACAUUGGGGUAGUCAUGCCGCACCCGGAUUACUACCAAAUAAAAUCAUACUGCCACAUUUCAUCACGAUCAAUACUCCGUGGGUCUAAGAUGGACUCGCGUCCCAUUAGCCAGCGGGGAGAGGAAAAGCCUACCAAGGCGACGAUGGGUAGCCGGGCGGAGAGGGGGAGCGGCCACAUUGGAACUGAGAAACGGUCCAGAAUCCUACGGGAGGCAGCAGUGGGGAAUAUUGCACAAGGGAGGGAACUCUGAUGCAGCGACGCCGCGUGAACGAAGAAGGCUUGCGAGUAGUAAAGUUCUUUUAUAUGGGAAGAUAAUGACGGUACCAGAAGAAAAAGCCCCGGCUAACUACGUG